rnacentral:rRNA from 1 species
AAUAGAUACCCCGGUAGUCCAUGCCGUAAACGUUGGGCACUAGGUGUGGGGGACAUUCCACGUUCUCCGCGCCGUAGCUAACGCAUUAAGUGCCCCGCCUGGGGAGUACGGUCGCAAGGCUAAAACUCAAAGGAAUUGACGGGGGCCCGCACAAGCGGCGGAGCAUGCGGAUUAAUUCGAUGCAACGCGAAGAACCUUACCAAGGCUUGACAUACACUGGACCGUUCUGGAAACAGUUCUUCUCUUUGGAGCUGGUGUACAGGUGGUGCAUGGUUGUCGUCAGCUCGUGUCGUGAGAUGUUGGGUUAAGUCCCGCAACGAGCGCAACCCUCGUUCUAUGUUGCCAGCACGUGAUGGUGGGAACUCAUAGGAGACUGCCGGGGUCAACUCGGAGGAAGGUGGGGAUGACGUCAAAUCAUCAUGCCCUUUAUGUCUUGGGCUUCACGCAUGCUACAAUGGCUGGUACAGAGAGAGGCGAACCCGUGAGGGUAAGCGAAUCCCUUAAAGCCAGUCUCAGUUCGGAUCGUAGU